rnacentral:rRNA from 1 species
GACGAACGCUGGCGGCGUGCUUAACACAUGCAAGUCGAACGGUGAAGGGAUCAGCUUGCUGGUUCUGGAUGAGUGGCGAACGGGUGAGUAACACGUGAGUAACCUGCCCCCUUCUUCUGGAUAACCGCAUGAAAGUGUGGCUAAUACGGGAUAUUCUGCGCCUGCUGCAUGGUGGGUGUGGGAAAGAUAUUGUUUCGGUGGGGGAUGGGCUCGCGGCCUAUCAGCUUGUUGGUGGGGUGAUGGCCUACCAAGGCGGUGACGGGUAGCCGGCCUGAGAGGGUGGACGGUCACACUGGGACUGAGACACGGCCCAGACUCCUACGGGAGGCAGCAGUGGGGAAUAUUGCACAAUGGGCGCAAGCCUGAUGCAGCGACGCCGCGUGAGGGAUGGAGGCCUUCGGGUUGUGAACCUCUUUCGCCAGUGAAGCAGGCCUGUCCCUUGUGGGUGGGUUGACGGUAGCUGGAUAAGAAGCGCCGGCUAACUACGUG